CAGUCGCCGCGGGAAUACAGAGGGUGCGAGCGUUAAUCGGAUUUACUGGGCGUAAAGCGUGCGUAGGCGGCUUCUUAAGUCGGAUGUGAAAUCCCUGAGCUUAACUUAGGAAUUGCAUUCGAUACUGGGAAGCUAGAGUAUGGGAGAGGAUGGUAGAAUUCCAGGUGUAGCGGUGAAAUGCGUAGAGAUCUGGAGGAAUACCGAUGGAGAAGGCAGCCAUCUGGCCUAAUACUGACGCUGAGGUACGAAAGCAUGGGGAGCAAACAGGAUUAGAUACCCCGGUAGUCCCUGUCUCUUAUAA
rnacentral:rRNA from 1 species